rnacentral:misc_RNA from 1 species
AGUCGUAACAAGGUUUCCGUAGGUGAACCUGCGGAAGGAUCAUUAAAAGAGCCCCCCGAAGUGAGCAUUAGGGUAACCCCCGAUUGUUAGCGGAAGGGAAUGGCCCAUUCGUGUCUACCGACCCAGUUGCCUCGGCGGGCCGCGCCCGCAAAGGCCGGCCGGGGGGAGUCUCUCCCCUCUGUCCGCGCCCGCCGAUGGACCCCAUAAAAUCUGAUAUUUUGGCUGUCUGAGCGUUAAAGCAAAUCAGUUAAAACUUUCAACAACGGAUCUCUUGGUUCCGGCAUCGAUGAAGAACGCAGCGAAAUGCGAUAAGUAAUGUGAAUUGCAGAAUUCCGUGAAUCAUCGAAUCUUUGAACGCACAUUGCGCCCUCUGGUAUUCCGGGGGGCAUGCCUGUUCGAGCGUCAUUUCAACCUUCAAGCCCGGCUUGUGUGAUGGGUGACCGUCCCUCCUCUCGGCGGGACGCGCCCGAAAUGCAGUGGCUAGACCGCGAUUCCGGCGUCUGAGCGAAUGGGAUAACCACCGCUUCUAGAACCGGCCGGCCCUGGCCCCAAAAACAUCGAUCCUCGCGGAUCACCCAGGUUGACCUCGGAUCAGGUAGGGAUACCCGCUGAACUUAAGCAUAUCAAUAAGCGGAGGA